AUCACCUGCAAGGCAGGGACCAGAUGGAGUGAAAAGUAGAGGCUCGGAUAUUCCCGGCACAUCAGGCAGUGAUCAGAGUGGACGUUUGGUUGAACAGAGAGCUGAGAGUAAAGAAUCCGGAGUUGAUCAAGGCUCGGAUAUUCCCGGCACAUCAGGCAGUGGUCAGAGUGGAUGUUCA